UACAGGGGGGGCAAGCGUUGUUCGGAAUUACUGGGCGUAAAGGGCUCGUAGGCGGCCAACUAAGUCCGACGUGAAAUCCCAAAGCUUAACUUUGGAACUGCGUCGGAUACUGGAUGGCUUGAAUUCGGGAGAGGGAUGCAGAAUUCCAGGUGUAGCGGUGAAAUGCGUAGAUAUCUGGAGGAAUACCGGUGGCGAAGGCGGCAUCCUGGACCGACAUUGACGCUGAUGCGCGAAAGCCAGGGGAGCAAACGGG
rnacentral:rRNA from 1 species